CGGCGGCGGCGGCCAGUCUUCCGUUUCUGCUUUUUGUUUUUUUGGUUUUUUUUUUGAUACACAGUCUCAAACUAGCUCAGGCUAGCCUCAGACUCACUGGAGGAUGACCUUGAGCCCUCGAUCCUCCUGCCUUUACUUCCUAACCGUUCACCAAGUGCUAGGAUUUACAGCAUGGAUAGGCGUCCAGGAAUACUCCAUAAUGAGCCAGGCAAUGUAUCUACUUUGGAUGUCACAAUUUGGUCAGAGACAGAGGCCAUCACAAUAUGAGGCCUGGAUUUGUAAUCCUAGCACUCAGGAGGCUGAAGCAGGAGGAUUCUGAGUCUGAACUUGGGCUGCAUGAUAAGACACUGUUUCAAGCCCAGUAGAGGAGGGCGCACACCUUCAGUCCCCGCACUUGGGAGGCAGAGGCAGGCGGAUCUCUGAAUCUGAGGCCAGCCUGGUCUAUAGCUUGAGUUCCAGGACAGCCAAAGCUACACACAGAGAAACCCUGUCUCGGGAUAAGAAAAAAGCCAAAGAACACCGUUUCAGAAAAGUACACCAGAGGCUGAGGAUGUAGCUCAGCUGAUGCAGCGCCUGCCUCACAUUCGUGAAGCCUUGCAUUUGAUCCUCAGCACCAGUGUUGCUAAGACUCCUUCCCAGGGCUGGACGUAAGCAACAUCUCCCUUCCUCAGGUCCCAAUGACAGACAGAGACACAACUGCACCAAAGUUCACUCUGGGACGUACAGAUGACCCUGGCAUGCGGCAAGUUGAUAGCACCUCAUCAACACUCCUGCCAUCAGAGACCAGGACACACCUGCUGGCUUUUUCUGAAGAGCACACCACAGGCAUUCCGGACAAGGCUGCAACUAUGGGGUGGCUCUGCCUGUCAACUCAAACUCAGUCCAGAUGUGACAUUCCACUGAAGCCUUUCUGCAGAGGCCCCGCCCCAGCAAAGAACCAGCUGGAAAGACUGCUGGAUCUCCCUUCCUCUUAUCAGACCAAGGCCUGGGCCCUGCUCAGUAAAGCAUGAAGGAGCCUCCCUCCUCCCUCCCCCGUCUCCCUGGAAGCCACAGGCACAGGGUACACUUUUAAAUUAUGGAGUAGCUUCCUCUGCCCCUCUCAGAAAGACCCAGGCGCCCCAACUAAAUAAUUCAGCACCUUGGGAAGACCCAGUGGAUCCUGACACAGCUGAAGUAGGUCAGGCCAUGACUUGGCUCUGGGAGGGGGCUGUCAAGCACACAACAGGCUCCUUCUCCAUGCUAGAAGGAGCUGCAGGCUAGGAAGGCCCUUGCUUGCUUGGCAAGACCACAUACCAGUGAGGGGUACUACAAAGACCCCAUUCCUUCCCUUCCUGGUACAAAUGCGGGUACAUCCCCUCCUGAAUUUCCCUCUGGGGUUCAGGUAACCUGCCCACCUGCACCCCAAGUUACCCUAAAGCCUGUGUUUGCCUGUGCCCCUCCUACCCACUCAGCACCUGGAUACAUGUCAGCCCUGAUCCAUAUGUCAACAGUUAACACCCUAGACCCAAGCCACACAAGAGAAGGGGUGAAGGUGCUGGAGUCAUCUGAGGUGCGACCAGGGCCAGCAGCCACAGCCACUGCCACUUUGCUAGGUGGGGGCAGCAGGAGACAGGCUCUGUCUACUGGCCCCGCCCUGCAGGACCAGGAUGGACAAAAAGCCAACUCAGAAAGGCAGCCCUCCAGUAGGGGCUGGAAAAGAUCUCAAGCCGCUUCUCCUACUAAACUGAAACACCGUAUCCCAGAGGAGCCGGGGUGGCCACAGGCCUCCUGACCACCCUGUCCAUGCCAGCCCAGACUCUCAGCACAGCCCACCUCGGGGACCUUCUCUCUUCCCAGCUAUCAGCCAACAGUACAGGGUCAGCAAUUACAACAGCCACCUCCAGACAUCACCCACAGUCCGAAGCAGCCGAACAUCCGAGCUGAGGUUAAAGGUAGAGCACGGACAUGCUUGUAAAAUAAAACAGAAUUGCACAAUUUA